rnacentral:lncRNA from 13 species
UCUGUCUGCCUCUCUGUCUCGCUCUCUGUCUGUCUCUCUGUCUCUUUCUCUGCCUUUGUCUCUCUGUCUCUGUCUCUCUGUCUCUGUCUGCCUCUCUGUCUCGCUCUCUGUCUCUGUGUGUCUCUCUGUCUCUUUCUCUGCCUUUGUCUCUCUGUCUCUGUCUCUCUCUGUCUCUCUCUGUCUCUGUCUGCCUCUCUGUCUCGCUCUCUGUCUGUCUCUCUGUCUCUUUCUCUGCCUUUGUCUCUCUGUCUCUGUCUCUCUGUCUCUCUCUGUCUCUGUCUGCCUCUCUGUCUCGCUCUCUGUCUCUGUGUGUCUCUCCGUCUCUUUCUCUGCCUUUGUCUCUCUGUCUCUGUCUCUCUGUCUCUCUCUGUCUCUGUCUGCCUCUCUGUCUCGCUCUCUGUCUCUGUGUGUCUCUCCAUCUCUUUCUCUGCCUUUGUCUCUCUGUCUCUGUCUCUCUCUGUCUCUGUCUGCCUCUCUGUCUCUGUGUCUCCUGCUGUCUCUGUGUCCCUCUGUCUCUGUGUCCCUCUGUUUCUCUAUCUCUCUGUCUCUGUCCGUUUCUGUGUCUCUGUCUCUGUGUCCCUGUCUCUCUGUUUCUCUAUGUCUGCCUUUGUCCUGGUUCCCUUCUUUACCCACCAGCCCCCUCCCGUGGCUGCCCUCACGUGUCAGCACCAUGCCUUCCCUGCGGCCAGGGCCACCUGCUCCCAGGUGUCCUCUGGCUGGUGCUGGCCGGAGUGUUCCCGGGCGAGCUCCCGGCUUAGCCAGGCCCAGGCCCAGAGCGAGACCCUGCCAGACCAGGCCGCGGCAGCCUCUGUGCCAACUUCAGGGAACAGCAAACCUGUCCGACGGGUUUCCUUCCCACCUCCGCACUGACGCUGGGACAGCUGGGUGGAAGGGGCCAAGUGGCACCACUGACCUAGCACCCCAGGCUGGGCACGGGCCACAGCAGCACAGUCUGGCUGCGGGCUGUGUCCUGAGGUCGGGCACCUGGGACAGGCUCCGUGAAGGAAGAUCAGCCAUCUGCUGGUCGCCCGGCAGGGGAAGAUGAAUGGGGAGAAGGUGAGCUGGGCAAGGUGGCUCACGCCUGUAAUCCUAACACUUUGGGGGGCUGAGGCGAAUGGACCACUUGAGGUCAGGAGUUCGAGACCAGCCUGGACAACAUAGUGAAACCCCAUCUCUGGUAAAAAUAGAAAAAAUUAACGGCGUGGUGGCGUGCACCUGUAAUCCCAGCUACUAGGGAGGCUGAGGCAGG